GGAAGGAUAGCCCAAUGGUUAGGGUUCUAUCCUGGGAUUCUAGAGACCUGGGUUCCAUUCCUUGCCUUACCA
rnacentral:tRNA from 1 species